rnacentral:rRNA from 1 species
AACGAACGCUGGCGGCAGGCCUAACACAUGCAAGUCGAGCGCGCCUUCGGGUGCGCGGCGGACGGGUGAGUAACGCGUGGGAAUAUGCCCUUCUCUACGGAAUAGUCCUGGGAAACUGGGGGUAAUACCGUAUACGCCCUUUGGGGGAAAGAUUUAUCGGGGAAGGAUUAGCCCGCGUUGGAUUAGGUAGUUGGUGGGGUAAUGGCCUACCAAGCCGACGAUCCAUAGCUGGUUUGAGAGGAUGAUCAGCCACACUGGGACUGAGACACGGCCCAGACUCCUACGGGAAGCAGCAGUGGGGAAUCUUAGACAAUGGGGGCAACCCUGAUCUAGCCAUGCCGCGUGAGUGAUGAAGGCCUUAGGGUUGUAAAGCUCUUUCAGCUGGGAAGAUAAUGACGGUACCAGCAGAAGAAGCCCCGGCUAACUCCGUG